CCUACGGGUGGCAGCAGUGGGGAAUAUUGGACAAUGGGCGAAAGCCUGAUCCAGCCAUGCCGCGUGUGUGAAGAAGGCCUUCGGGUUGUAAAGCACUUUCAGUGGGGAAGAAAGCCUUGGGGCUAAUACCCUCGAGGAAGGACAUCACCCACAGAAGAAGCACCGGCUAACUCCGUGCCAGCAGCCGCGGUAAUACGGAGGUUGCGAGCGUUAAUCGGAAUUACUGGGCGUAAAGCGCGCGUAGGCGGUCUGAUAAGCCGGUUGUGAAAGCCCCGGGCUCAACCUGGGAACGGCAUCCGGAACUGUCAGGCUAGAGUGCAGGAGAGGAAGGUAGAAUUCCCGGUGUAGCGGUGAAAUGCGUAGAGAUCGGGAGGAAUACCAGUGGCGAAGGCGGCCUUCUGGACUGACACUGACGCUGAGGUGCGAAAGCGUGGGUAGCAAACAGGAUUAGAUACCCGUGUAGUC
rnacentral:rRNA from 1 species